GACCGAUAGUGAACCAGUACCGUGAGGGAAAGGCGAAAAGAACCCCGGCGAGGGGAGUGAAAAAGAACCUGAAACCGUGUACGUACAAGCAGUGGGAGCACCUUCGGGUGUGACUGCGUACCUUUUGUAUAAUGGGUCAGCGACUUAUAUUCUGUAGCAAGGUUAACCGUAUAGGGGAGCCGCAGGGAAACCGAGUCUUAACUGGGCGUUAAGUUGCAGGGUAUAGACCCGAAACCCGGUGAUCUAGCCAUGGGCAGGUUGAAGGUUGGGUAACACUAACUGGAGGACCGAACCGACUAAUGUUGAAAAAUUAGCGGAUGACUUGUGGCUGGGGGUGAAAGGCCAAUCAAACCGGGAGAUAGCUGGUUCUCCCCGAAAGCUAUUUAGGUAGCGCCUCGUGAAUUCAUCUUC
rnacentral:rRNA from 1 species